UGUAAAAAUUUUUUAAUUGUAAAAUUGCUACAUGAGAAGACAAGUUGUUAGAUGAAAUUCAAAUAUUCUCUAUGUUUGUGUUGUGUAGGUCAAAAAAUAAUAAACAAAGAUGAUAUUGAUUGUGAUGACCAAGAGAUUCAUUUUAAGACGCAUCAAUCUUCAUCAUCUUUAAAUAAAAAGGAUAAACAUUAUGGAUUUCCAUUAUCUCAAGCAAACUUUCAAUAUUAUGUGUUGCUUCUCUUAAAUGAGAUAAAAACCCAAGGAUGCAAAAAACUUUAUAUAAAAUAGUGUGAAGAAGAAGUAGUAACUGAAAUGAACAGCAUAAUAGAAUUUGAUAAGUUUGACUCAGCACUUGACAAUGUUUCAUCUAGUAACUCAGUAGUAUCUCUGCAGUUGUAAAUUGCUAAAUACUGAUUUGACAGAAACAAAGAGUUCAAAAUAUUAGUGGUAAGAACUGUCAAAAACUUGUGAUAGCUAUGAAGAAGAGAUUUAUGACAAAUUCGCUCAUGGCCAAAUCUAAUAUGGCAGCUGGAAAAGGCAAAGGAUCUUUUUAGCCUAACUAAGCUAUACAACUUAAUAAAAGUUUGUGCAUCGACUUCUCACGAAUCAUACACAGAGUCGAUUGUCGAUGCAAUAAUUGCUGAUUCGUGAAAACGGGCAACUUUUGCUUGUCUUUUAAGUACCUUAAAUCCAUCGU